rnacentral:rRNA from 1 species
CAUAGACAGUUCAUACACCCCACUGUCCGCCCGGGAACUACGAGCGUUAGCUUAAAACCCAAAGGACUUGGCGGUGCUUUAUACCCACCUAGAGGAGCCUGUUCUAGAACCGAUAAUCCCCGUUCAACCUCACCCUUCCUUGUUCUUUCCGCCUAUAUACCGCCGUCGUCAGUUUACCCUGUGAAGGCCUAAUAGUAAGCAAAAUCGGCACAGCCCAAAACGUCAGGUCGAGGUGUAGCGUAUGGAAGGGGAAGAAAUGGGCUACAUUCCCUGUUACAGGGCAUACGAAUGAUUUUGCUGAAAUGCAUAUCUGAAGGAGGAUUUAGCAGUAAGCAGAAA